UGACGUCACGCCCGGUGCCCCGUUUCCGGUGCGGAAGCCUGGUCUCCUCGCUUGGAGCGAACGGUCUGCGCUUGAGAAGGCGAGGCUCGAGGCCGGCCGGCGGAGCUCUCAGGGACGCAGGGAGGCCAGGUUGGCAGCAGCCACUCUCUCUGCGGCUGCACGUGGGAGAUGGAAAGCAGAAGGCUGACUCAAACCCUCCAAGACAGGUUGGCACCACUCCAGUGGUUUGGAACCAAACCCACGACGUGCCUGUACAUUCUGGCCAAGAGGAAGUAAAUGGAGGCAUGACGAGCGGCAUCUAGAAACUUCCGAAAACCUUCCCUAAGUGAUACUAUUCUUUGUCCCUCCAUCCUGCUGCCUGGAAUGAGGAUGCCACCAUCUGAGACCACGACCUUGAGAGCAAACUCCGUAGAGCAGAAAAGCAGCAGGAGCUUGGGUUCCUGACCAUGGGGUACCACAUUUGUCCUGGACCACCUGUGUGUCAUUUAUGUGAAAGAGGAACAAAUGUCUAUCUUGUUUCAGUUAUGUUAUUUUGGCGUUUCUGUCAUUCACAACCCAUCACCAUCCUAAUUUCUGCCUCUUUAGUAAAAGAGACCUAGGACUUUAGCCAACAGCUCCCUCCCUGCUCAGAGAGAGGCGAAUAGCAGAAUCGCAGUCCCAUGACAUACUGCCAUGAGGUAUUGUGAGGUGAUAUUUGUACCCAGUCUUUCUCAGAUGUUCAACCUGGGGUCCAUGGAGCCCUUGGGAAUUCUAAAGAAGGACUUUAGAGUGUCUAAGAACUAACUAACUGAAAUGUUUGCAACAUUUUAUGAAAAUGUGCAGAUAUGCAUUUUUCAGAAUUCAGAGCCUACAUCAGAUUCUCAAAGGGUGGAGGAUCUCAAGGGGGACCCAGGGAUCCAGUGAAAUGAAUACAGUGGGGAUAAAAGCAGGUUUGCAGGGGGAAACCUGCAAAGGUCGUCAUUCCUAAGGAUGCCAGGUCUUCUGGAUUCUGAGGUCCUUUCUUACCUGAAGAUGGAGGGACUUCUGGAUUUGAAGGAUCAUGGAGCACACCACCUACCACCUCCUUCAAGGUCUUAGAGGUCUUUGGAGCCUCAGUUCCACUCUUCUCUGCAGGUACUGUGGACUCUGGAUGCUCCCAGAUCUUCUUUCCAGCCAAUGAUACACUGGAAAGUGUAUUCCUGAGUGCUCCCCCCUCCAGAGUCAUGGCGUGUUCUGGAUUCCUGGAGCCUUUCUCUGCAGCCACAGUAGCCCCUGUGUUCAGAGUGGCUGCUGAGCCUGGAUUCUCACUUCUCAUUUUCUCUUGAAGCAGAAGAGUUUCUGGGUUGAGAGGUUCUGUCUCUCCUGGAGAAAUGGUAAAUUCAAGACUUUUGGGUCGCUUCUUUCCUGAAGAUUCAGAGGCUUUUCCAGCUGGGAAGACUCAGUGCCUUGUCAGACACGUGGUCGUCAGAACCCCAGCUCUCACUGACUUGGGCUGGACUGCAGAGUGGUGGAUAAGUCUUUGAGGAAGGGUCUGGGAUUGGAUUCCAGAUUCUGGAUCUUUGGGCAGGAAGUCAGAUGCUUCCCUCUCCCCUCCCAGGAUACGGGGGUGGGGGUGGGGUGAACAGAGCCCCUGGUCCCAUGCUGGAGAGAACCAUGAUGAAGGUCAGCCCCUCUGGCCAACUGCUCUCCUCCAGACUCUUGGGGUUUUAUUGACCCUCUGGAGCCAAUGACAGGGGGAUGGGGAGCAGCAAAUACAGCCCUGCAAGCUCUGCCCCUCCCUGCCCAAGAAGGCAGGUGAGGCCAGAAGGGCACCGCCAGGAGACAAGCCCUGGGGUCGCCCCUGUUGACGUAGUUCCAGUUGUCUGGUUCUUCCAGCAACACAAAGGCCUCGAAAUGCGACGCCUGGGGCCACCAUCCUGAUUUAUUUGUCCCAGCGCUAACUCUGCCGUGGCUUCCUGGGAGCAGACUCCGGAGGGAGGGUGUCAUGCAUGCAUGUGUACUGAACACAUGUUCUGGACCAGGAUGCUGGAGAAACAAGGGUGAAAAAGGCAUAGGCGUUCUUAGGGCUUGCAGCCCAGUAUGGGGCCCCAGCGGUGGCUCCGAAGCUAAUGGAGUUUGUAUGGGGGGAGCUGACUGCUUCCUCCGUUAACUGCUGUGUCUUUCUGCUACAUUGAUUUUUAUCCUCAACUUUUUGGUUCAAAGUAUUUCAAAUCCACAGAAAAUUUGAGAGCAUAGUACAAUGAACACUUAUAUACCCUUUACCUAGGUUCAGCAACCGUUUACAUUUCAUGUUUAGUGAUUCUCUCUCACACAUGCACACACUUUUUUGUUUUUUUGAAGCAUUUCAUAAUAAAUUGAAAACAUAUCAGAUAUCACUUCAAAUACCCUAGCUAUCCUAAAUACUAAGAAUGAGGAUACAAGGAUAUUAUUUUAUUAUUUAUUUAUUUAAAUUUUAUUUAUUUAUUUAUUUUUGGCUGCCCCCACGCAGCUUGUCAGAUCUUAUUUCCCGACCAGGAAUUGAACCCAGGCCCUCUGCAGUGAAAGUACCGAGUCCUAACCACUGGACCGCCAGGGAAUUCCCAAGGAUAUUAUUUUAAAUAAUCACAGUAGUAUUAUCACACUCAGGAAAUUUAAUGUUGUUACAAUACUACAAGGUUUCCAUAAUCAAAUUCCCCAAUUGUCCUGAUAAUGUCUUUGACAGCUUUUUUUUUUUUUGUCCCAAUCCAGGAUCCAAUCAGAGAUCCUGCAUUGCCUUUAGUUGCCAAGUCUCUGUAGUCUCCUUUUAUCUAGAACACUUUCACAUUCCCCUCACCUUUUAAAAUUCUUCCAAGACAUUAAUGUUUUUGAGGGCUUCUCUGGUGGCGUAGUGGUUAAGAAUCCUCCUGCCAACGCAGGGGACACGGGUUCGAGCCCUGGCCCGGGAAAAUCCCACAUGCCGCGGAGCAACUAAGCCGGUGCGCCCCAACUACUGAGCCUGCGCUCUAGAGCCCUUGAGCCACAACUACUGAAGCCCAGGCGCCUAGAGCCCCGUGCUCCGCAGCAAGAGAAGCCACCGCAAUGAGAAGCCCGCGCACCUCGACGAAGAGUAGUCCCCUGCUCGCUGCAACUAGAGAAAGCGCGCGCGGCAACGAAGACCCAACGCAGCCAAAAAAUAAAUUAAAUAAAUAAAUAAAUAUAAAAAAUAAAAAAUAAAGUGGGGACAGUGGGUGAGGUCUCAGACCUGGAGGCUUGCUUCGUCAAGCCCUCUUAUUAAAAAAAAAAAAAAAAAAGACAUUACUGUUUUUGAAAAGUCCGUUCCAAGCACAGUGUCCCUCAAUGUAGAUUUGUGUGAUUGUUUCCUCAUUAUUAGACUGAGGGUCCAUCCACGCCUCCUUGAGAUCUCUCCAUUGUAAAAGGCCAUUUUUUUCUUUGUAAUUAAUAUGGAACCUCGGUGUGUGGAAAGGUCUCGCUCCCUCACAAUCUUUCACCCCAUGGUGUUAGCCUUCAUUGAUGAUCCUUUCCUAAAUCAGUUGCUAGAGUGGUGGUUGCAAAAUGGUAUUUCUAUCACUUAGUUGGCAUCAUUUGCAUAUCCUGGUUUGAACUUUCUGUCUUCCUCAUAAAAUGUUUGGCUUACAGAUGUUUUGUUGGUAAUACAAUUACCCUUCAACGAUGCUUACUCUUUGCUUUUUUUUUUUUUUUUUUUUUUAGCUCUGUGCUUUAUAUCCAUUAUUCCCUAAAAUCUCUGCAGUAUCCCUUCAGUGCAGGAUUCAUCAUCUCCAUUUACAGCCGGGCUUAGAGACUUGCCCAGAGCCAGGGUUCAAACUCACUCUAUUAACCACUUUGCAGUAUUGUCUCCCUGCAUGAUGAUACUUUGUUAUUUUACUAUUAAUCACUAACCGUAGAUGUCACCUUUUCAGCGACCAACGAGGCUCAAAAUGGGCCAUGCUGACCAUUCCCUCAGGUCAGUGACAGCAUUCUGAUGCCUGGCUGAACAAACAGCCCCUCUGUAUGACCAACCUGGGAUCAAGGCUUCCAUGAGUUCUCGUUGGUUGAAUUUAUUUUAUUGUCUGAUUGGUCCAUGGGCUUUAUAUCUUACAGAGUAUUCAGUGUUUGGGGUUUAACAGCUGACAGCAUCCAGUUUUCUGGAUCCUGGUGAGAAAAUAAUACCCAAACCCAGCAACUUCCCUAAAAAAUGAAUGAACCCAAAUGCACCUUUAUGGUGCAAAUGUCAGAUGUGUGAAAUUCUCAGGUUGGGCCAGAAGGGUUUUAACUGGGGUUUCUCUGGGACCAGGACCUGUACAAGAUUCCGGAAAGCAGUCUCCCACUGCUGAGACAGAAAUGAUGAAAUCAUGCAAUGCCACAAAGCAUCCUUCGUGUUCCUGGGAUCUCUGACGCCGUCUUGUCUGGCCAGGAAACUCCUCUAAGCUAAGACUAAGGCAGCUACGACAGAAUCGGGUAGGAAGUGGGGCUUUCCAGUCUACAGCAGGAUAUUUUGCAAUUUCAGUGACACUUUUUGCAACAGGGGCAAUUCUGAAGCAGGGACUUCUUGAGAGGCAGUGUUUUGUUGCCACUGAGGCCUUUCUAGGUCAAGAGAGGUUCACAAAACUUCCAUUUUUUGAGGUUCCAGUGAUUUAAAAUGAAGAAAUGUGAAAAUAGGAUUAUAGUCCUUGGGAUGCAUUUUAAAUGUUUGAUUUAACAAGUAAAAUGGAUUGUUGAUGAACUCUUCUUUCUUGUACCUCUGUGACUAUACCUCUGUAACCUUCAAAGCAGAUUUCAGUCUUGUACCUCUGUGCCUUUAUUUGGGGACAUGACAAAUCUAAAACCAAUGCAACUGCUGCAAAGGGUCCAACUUUUGCUCUCCUCCUAAGUGAUGCACAGCUCAGACACCCGCAUCUUUUCUCCAUUCCUGGUCAUCAGGGGUAUCACUUUCUACCACAUUCAUUUUUGUAUCAUUUUGGGAUUUUAAAAUCAAUAUGUAUUACUUUUAUAAUAAAAAAGAUAGUUUUAAAAAAGUAUUUUAUAAUUAGCUUAGCUUCAAAGCUGAUUUCAGUCCUGUCCCCGCA